rnacentral:lncRNA from 1 species
UAAAUUUAUAAUAAAAUUGAGAAUGGAAAUGGGGAAUGUGUCAAAGAGACAACAACCCGACCAAAUAAAAAACAACAGCAGAGGGUCACCAACAGGUCUUCAAUGUAGCGAGAAAUUCCCGCACCCGGAGGCGUCCUUCAGCUGGCCCCUAAACAAAUAUAUACUAGUCCAGUGAUAAUGAACGCCAUACUAAUUUACAAAUUGUACACAAGAAACUAAAAUUAAAAUAAUACAAGACUAACAAAGGCCAGAGGCUCCUGACUUGGGACAGGCGCAAAAAUGCGGCGGGGUUAAACAUGUUUGUGAGAUCUCAACCCUCCCCCUAUACCUCUAACCAAUGUAGAAAAGUAAACGCAUAACAAUAAACUUAUCUCCGAGAAACGUUUGUAUGAUGAAUAAGGCCUCAGAAAAAAAGAUUGCAUUUUGAAAAUAUAUAUUUAUUGUUAAUAGGUUCAUCUUUUAUAUUCCCUAGCUUAGAAAGCAAAAAAAGUAUAAAUUUGAACUUCUGUCGCCAUCUUUAAAUCAGCCGGUUCCACUCGUUUUAUUUUCAGCCAUAUUUAACCCGGUCACGUGAUAGGGGGAACAGGGCAUAGCCCGACCUAGAACAAAUGAAGCAGCCC